rfam:Phenylobacterium sp. RIFCSPHIGHO2_01_FTLL_69_31 rifcsphigho2_01_scaffold_361, whole genome shotgun sequence.
GCGCCCGUAGCUCAACCGGAUAGAGCAUCCGCCUUCUAAGCGGACGGUUGCAGGUUCGAGUCCUGCCGGGCGCG